rnacentral:rRNA from 1 species
CCUACGGGUGGCAGCAGUCGAGAAUCAUUCACAAUGGGGGAAACCCUGAUGGUGCGACGCCGCGUGGGGGAAUGAAGGUCUUCGGAUUGUAAACCCCUGUCAUGUGGGAGCAAAUUAAAAAGAUAGUACCACAAGAGGAAGAGACAGCUAACUCUGUGCCAGCAGCCGCGGUAAUACAGAGGUCUCAAGCGUUGUUCGGAAUCACUGGGCGUAAGGCGUGCGUAGGCUGUUUCGUAAGUCGUGUGUGAAAGGCGCGGGCUCAACCCGCGGACGGCACAUGAUACUGCGAGACUAGAGUAAUGGAGGGGGAACCGGAAUUCUCGGUGUAGCAGUGAAAUGCGUAGAUAUCGAGAGGAACACUCGUGGCGAAGGCGGGUUCCUGGACAUUAACUGACGCUGAGGCACGAAGGCCAGGGGAGCGAAAGGGAUUAGAUACCCGUGUAGUC